rnacentral:rRNA from 1 species
UAUGGGGUUCCUACUGUACUCUUGAUUUCGCCUGACUUCAGAAGCUAAGCAGGAUCAGGCCUGGUCAGUAUUGGGAGGCAAGAUGACGAAAGAAGACCAAGAUCCUCCAGGC